UACGGAGGGUGCGAGCGUUGUUCGGAUUUAUUGGGCGUAAAGCGCGUGUAGGCGGUCUUUUAAGUCUGAUGUGAAAGCCCCGGGCUCAACCUGGGAAGUGCAUUGGAAACUGGGAGACUUGAAUACGGGAGAGGGCAGUGGAAUUCCUAGUGUAGGAGUGAAAUCCGUAGAUAUUAGGAGGAACACCGGUGGCGAAGGCGGCUGCCUGGACCGAUAUUGACGCUCAGGCACGAAAGCGUGGGGAGCAAACAGG
rnacentral:rRNA from 1 species